rnacentral:lncRNA from 14 species
CCUCACACUGUGACACUGAGACCAAGGGCUCAUAACCCAGGAGAUGCGAAUACUCUGUAGAGAUAUGGAGCCUUUACCCAGCACUUGGUGUAAGUCCUCAGCUGCGGGCUGAGCCUGCCUCUUAUCCCGGGAUGGCAUUUGCCGACAGUGAACGCAUCCGGUGUCCCCUGUGGGAAAUGCUCUUCAGUGCUCAC